GCCAUUCGCAGUUAGUUGAGUAGCGUGGAUGGAGAAUAACGUGUGGCUGGAGAAAAAUAUGUUAAAAUGGAUAAGAUAAUAAAAGAUAAGGAUGCUCUAAUUAUGAACCUGCAGGCUCAAUUAUUGUUCGUAAUCAGUCCAUGCAGCGAUGGAACUGAACAAUUGUGGGACCGUAUUUGGGCCAAAAAUGGGUGUGGUACGGAAACCCAGAAAUAGCACGAGUUCAACAUAAAACAUGAAUUAGAAUUUUAGCAGGGGAUCAAGUCAAGUCUGGAAGUUUUACAAGAUGGAAGAGUCGGUCUACAGUUGAAAAAACACAGAGUGCAUUACCAUUAAGGUAUGAGCUGCUUCUCUUGCUAAAGAACAACUUGUCCUUUACGUUCAGAGUGUUGGUGAAGCUGGAUACUUAAAUGGCCCUAAAGAUGUUUCACUUUGCUGGCAUUGCAGCGAUGAACAUCAUACAUGCACUCUUUAGGAAAUGAUUUUCAGCAUACUGGGAUAACAACUAUCAAGAAUGCAACAUUCUAGGGGGGCUAUUUUAUCAUUCAAGAGCCUUAUACAAUGAUUUUCAUCUGCAAUUUGUAUGGCCUUUCCCAAGCUUCUGCCAGAAGUUGAAUCUAUGAGUCCUGUAAGUCACAUGAGCAACAAUUGAGAUGCUUAAUGGUGUUGUUUUUCUUUUCUCAGUAUAGGUUAAUAGUAACAUUGGAUCUGAAAAGAUUCUUGGUUGGGGCAAGACACUGAAUAAAUUGUAAUGAUUGGAUGGAUGACAUGACAUUUCUAUACUUCAUUCGGAUUCCCGGAUCGGUAUUUUAUAUUUAAAAAAUUGAAGUGCAUAUCUGGGCUCCCUUCCUUUCCGUAGCCCCGUUUCCCCUUGACUCGUAAUAAGCCCGUAGGGGGUCAUGCCCCUACUGUACGGUAUAUAUAAAAAUAACAUAUACCGAGGUUUGGAGGGCUCUGGCCGGA